rnacentral:misc_RNA from 1 species
GUAGGUGAACCUGCGGAAGGAUCAUUAACACGUUAUUUAAAAACAACGUAUUAAACCAAACGUGAAAAUAGUAACUGCCCUAUGUAGAAAAAGAAGCGCGACGAGAGGAAUGGUGUGCAAGGCGAAAGCCGAGCUGUCUCUUGUUUCUAGUAGUGCUCGACAUUACAGCUUGCUCUCUAUAUAGUUGAAUAGUACCACUCGCUUACUAAGCCCGCACUUUGGCUUGCUUUUGGUGCGCCCAUAUAUUAACCCCUUUUUUAUAACCACUGAUUUGUACGUUUCUUUUUAUUCCUGUUUUCGAACAGUUGAGUUCAAUUAAAUGUCGUAUAUACUAAUACGAAACAACUCUUAGCAACGGAUAUCUUGGUUCUC